UGGGGAAUAUUGCACAAUGGAGGGAACUCUGAUGCAGCGACGCCGCGUGAACGAAGAAGGCUUUCGAGUCGUAAAGUUCUUUUAUAUGGGAAGAUAAUGACGGUACCAUAAGAAAAAGCCCCGGCUAACUACGUGCCAGCAGCCGCGGUAAUACGUAGGGGGCUAGCGUUGUCCGGAAUCACUGGGCGUAAAGGGUUCGCAGGCGGAAAUGCAAGUCAGGUGUAAAAGGCAGUAGCUUAACUACUGUAAGCAUUUGAAACUGCAUAUCUUGAGAAGAGUAGAGGUAAGUGGAAUUUUUAGUGUAGCGGUGAAAUGCGUAGAUAUUAAAAAGAAUACCGGUGGCGAAGGCGGCUUACUGGGCUCAUUCUGACGCUGAGGAACGAAAGCGUGGGUAGCAACAGG
rnacentral:rRNA from 1 species